GGUUUUAUAUUUUAUAAUAAAAUAUUAAAUUGCAAAUUUAAAGAUACAAAAAUUGUUAAAACUU
rnacentral:tRNA from 1 species